GCGGCUGUGGCCGAGCGGCAAGGCAGCGGUCUGCAAAGCCGUCCACGCGGGUUCGAGUCCCGCCGGCCGCUCCA
rnacentral:tRNA from 8 species